GGCUUCGUAGCUCAGCCGAUAGAGCGCUUACCGCGUAGAUAUAUGACGUUUCUAACGCUGGUUCGAAUCCAGCCGAAGACU